ACUCCUACGGGAGGCAGCAGUAGGGAAUUUUUCGCAAUGGAGGAAACUCUGACGGAGCAAUACCGCGUGUGGGAAGAAGAUUUUCGGAUUGUAAACCACUGUUGUAAGGGAAGAACGUUAUUAGUAGGAAAUGGCUAAUAAGUGACGGUACCUUACCCAGAAAGGGACGGCUAACUACGUGCCAGCAGCCGCGGUAAUACGUAGGUCCCGAGCGUUAUCCGGAAUUAUUGGGCGUAAAGGGCACGUAGGCGGACAAAUAAGUUUGAUGUUCAAAUAUGAUGGCUCAACCAUCCAAGAGGCGUUGAAAACUGUUUAUCUAGAAUCUCGGAGAGGUAAGUGGAAUUCCAUGUGUAGCGGUGGAAUGCGUAGAUAUAUGGAGGAACACCAAUGGCGAAGGCAGCUUACUGGACGAAGAUUGACGCUGAGGUGCGAAA
rnacentral:rRNA from 1 species